rnacentral:rRNA from 1 species
AGCUAAUAGAUACCCAGGUAGUCCACGCCCUAAACGAUGUCUACUAGUUGUUGGUGGAGUAAAAUCCAUGAGUAAACGCAGCUAACGCGUGAAGUAGACCGCCUGGGGAGUACGGUCGCAAGAUUAAAACUCAAAGGAAUUGACGGGGGCCCGCACAAGCGGUGGAUUAUGUGGAUUAAUUCGAUGCAACGCGAAAAACCUUACCUGGCCUUGACAUGCCACUAACGAAGCAGAGAUGCAUUAGGUGCCCGUAAGGGAAAGUGGACACAGGUGCUGCGUGGCUGUCGUCAGCUCGUGUCGUGAGAUGUUGGGUUAAGUCCCGCAACGAGCGCAACCCUUGCCAUUAAUUGCCAUCAUUUAGUUGGGCACUUUAAUGGGACUGCCGGUGACAAACCGGAGGAAGGUGGGGAUGACGUCAAGUCCUCAUGGCCCUUAUGGCCAGGGCUUCACACGGUAAUACAAUGGUCGGUACAGAGAGUUGCCAACCCGCGAGGGGUAGCUAAUCUCAGAAAGCCGAUCGUAGUCCGGAUUGUUCU